AUACGUAGGUGCCAAGCGUUAUCCGGAUUUACUGGGCGUAAAGGGCGUGUAGGCGGUCUUGCAAGUCAGAAGUGAAAUUCCUGAGCUCAACUCGGGCGCUGCUUCUGAAACUGCAGGACUUGAGUGCUGGAGGGGAUAGCGGAAUUCCUAGUGGAGCGGUAAAAUGCGCAGAUAUUAGGAAGAACACCGGUGGCGAAGGCGGCUAUCUGGACAGUAACUGACGCUGAGGCGCGAAAGCGUGGGGAGCAAACAGGAUUAGAUACCCUGGUAGUCCACACUGUAAACGAUGAAUGCUAGGUGUAAGAGGUAUCGACCCCUUUUGUGCCGGAGUCAACACAAUAAGCAUUCCGCCUGGGGAGUACGGCCGCAAGGUUGAAACUCAAAUGAAUUGACGGG
rnacentral:rRNA from 1 species